UAACCACUCAAGCCUCGGCUUGGUCUUGGGGUUCGCGGUCUCGCGGCCCUUAAAAUCAGUGGCGGUGCCGUCUGGCUCUAAGCGUAGUAAUUCUCUCGCUAUAGGGUCCCGGUGGCUACCUGCCAGAACCCCCCAUUUUUUAC
rnacentral:misc_RNA from 1 species